rnacentral:rRNA from 1 species
UACGUAGGGGGCAAGCGUUGUCCGGAUUUAUUGGGCGUAAAGAGCGUGUAGGCGGCCAGACAGGUCCGUUGUGAAAACUCGAGGCUCAACCUCGAGACGCCGAUGGAAACCGUCUGGCUAGAGUCCGGAAGAGGAGAGUGGAAUUCCCGGUGUAGCGGUGAAAUGCGCAGAUAUCGGGAGGAACACCAAUGGCGAAGGCAGCUCGCUGGGACGGUACUGACGCUGAGACGCGAAAGCGUGGGGAGCGAACAGG